CUUUCAACUGAGGUUACUUGACUCUCACUUCACCUGUGUGCAAUUUUAGCUAUUUGCUAAUACCGAGUCUAUCUGUUUGUCUGCCAACAUGCUGGUUCGGGCGAUCCUGCAGACCUCACUGGUCCUGUGGCUGGUACAGAGCACCAUACAAGGAGGAGUUAGGCCACAGACUGGAGCUCUGGGAAGAUUGGCGAGUCGAGGUCCUGGUAUCGGUGUAAAGUCUGGAGGUCCAGUGGCUGGUAUCCUCGGAGCCCGUGGCUAUGGGGCAGGC
rnacentral:lncRNA from 1 species